rnacentral:misc_RNA from 1 species
GGACAGCUCUGAACCAUCAUCUGAGAACACAUUCCUCCAUAAAACAUUAGCAAGAUCACUGUGCUUAGCUUCAGGACUCAAAGCAGAAUCAUAUGCGACAAUAUUCCCGUAAAAUAUCUUUUCCAGAUCUUUCAUCCAUUUUGUCAGUAGUAAAUUAACCCCAGCCUUGGAUACUCUCAAUUCCACAUCAUGAUUGUAAAUUUCAUACAGAUAUUGGCCAAAUUCAGC